UCAUAACCUGCAAUGGAGGAAACUGUUAGAAGUAAAUGCCUAGAAGACUCACAAAGAGUAAACAUCUCAAACUUUAGAUGCUUUAUCAAUGACUUAUUUACUGAAUCUGCUAUCGGUGGCCCGUGAUUUCCACACACUUGUCUUUUACUGCUGCUCAGUGGUUUGUGAUCAGUGAGGAGCAAAGAAGAACUGAACUUGUGGUUUUGGAAGAGGAGCAAAUAACCAAGAAGUCAUUGCUGUACUGUGUGGUCAAGUGAUAAUAAAAAAAAUCAUUCUGAUGGUCAGGACAAGACUACAUAUCAAUAACAUCAGAAUCUCUGGGUGUGGAUUCGAGGCAUGAGGACACCAUUAACAAUUCCUCAGAGAAUUCGGAACACGUUCAUGUAAGCAUGGAAGAAGUCAUUCAUGUGCCAGCGGGGGAGCUGACAGUCUUCGUCUAUGUGGC